UGCUACAGUCUGUAUUAAUAGUUUGGUGCUACAGUCUGUAUUAAUUUUAAUACAGACAGUAGUACCAAACUAUUAAUACAGACAGUAGUA
rnacentral:pre_miRNA from 1 species